GCCCCGAUAGCUCAAUGGAUCGAGUACCCGCCUUCUAAGCGGGCGAUCCAGGUUCGAUUCCUGGUCGGGGCA
rnacentral:tRNA from 1 species